GAAAUUGAUACUUCAACCGGCGCGGCGACUACGGCGUGAAAGCGAGUUGGUAAAGCGAGAUCGUGCGUAUGUAACUUGACCCUAGGUCGCCGAUUUCGCCUACGAAAUUUCGACUUGUUCGAUUCACUUUCAUGCGCCGCUCUAAUAAACGGCAGCUCGCCGCAAAUACGAGCCAGUCCCCGUUGAUUCGCACGCUCUUUGCGCGGUCUGCGCAGUUUCUCUGCGCUUUUCUGCGCAUUAGCGAGCAUCCUCCUCCUCCUCGGUAGGUUAGAGACCGAGACCGAUUUUCCCCCGUUUAAAGUGCCGACGAGCAAUUUUCGAAAUCAUCUUCCGAUGGACCAGGAAACCGCGGUUCGAUCGACGAGAGUCGCUCUUACCCAAUCUCUGGCCAUCGAUGUUGAAGCACCGCCGCCGCCGCUGCCGCCGCUUCGAGGUUGACUGCUUUUCUUACGUAACGUCGCGCUCAUCGCGCGAAGAGAAAAAAAUACACGCACGCACACGCGAGCGCACGUGUUGCAUAUUUAUUAUUACGUAAACGCGAGGAUCGCGAGGUCGCGAGGCCGAUCGCAAAGUGGUGUCUAAGUCGAAGGCACACGAACGACACGACGUCGUCGGCCGUGUGCCAUCAAUCACACCUGGUCUCUCGUCGUAUUGACGAGCGGUUUGCGUCAGCGUCUCGUUAGAGUCGAUUUGUGGAUGCACCGUGAACUGAAAACCCGUGGAAUACCCGUGGCGCGGCGGAACCGACGAGCGAGAAAUUGCGCGCGCCGUCCCUGGUUUGUCAAACAAGACAAGGAAAGUAGGAGCGAUUAUUCCGCGGGUGUGCGCGAUUUUUUCCCGGCCGCCGCCGCCACCGCCGCCGCCGCUAAGGUCAGGAAACGAGGCCGCGAAACGGCAGGAAGCGAUACAAUGGGGAACACGCUCCUGUUCUCACCGGGGAAAUCCUAUAUAUACAUAUAUGCCGAUAAGGCUUCUCUAAUGAGCGCUCGAUUCUCUCAUUACACGACGAUCGACGUUACCACGCUGUGGCCGAUCGGUGUGGCCGAUCUCGGGUCUUUUUCCGCGACUCGACUCGUUGCGAGAACGCAUCUCGCCCGGGAGGAACGAAGAAUCACGGCAACGUUAUAUCGGAGAAUAACUCGUCGUCGCUCGUAAACGCGGGAUUCUGUUUCCAGAUGAUCGCGCAAUUGCGUGUACCUUGGCGCGUCACGGCGCGCUAAUCCGAUCACGUCGCGUUAACUGCUUAGAUACAUCUCGCUUCGUGCCCCGUGUCUCCGCAAAUGAGAUCUAACGAAGGUGCGCCAUAAAAGAAGAGUAGAGAUAACGCUGUGUGUCGAACGAGCCGGCGCGACGCGCGGCGAUAUCUCGCGAGAACGAAAUAAAAGGCACUCUCGGCGCGCCGUAAGACGCGCAGACGCGAGCAAUCAUCAUUCAUCCGAGAACGUCGAACGUCGAACGUGAGAAACUGAGCGUCGAAAGUCACAUCGUCCUCGAAAAUCCGAUCGAGAACUUCCACGAGAUUUCAAUCCAAUUUGAAUCGAAUUGCUGCCAGAUCGACUUGCUGCCCGAGAGAGAGAGAGAGAGAGAAAGAGAAUUAAAGCGAACAGAGGACUCGAAUAAACGAGCUUUUUCCGCCUUUGUCGUUGAAUCGACGCAAAAAGUGCCACUGUCUCUCACACAUACGGCAUCUCUUCGACGCGAGGGCACACUGAUCUGUCAUGAUCUACCUCGACGUCCCGAGAUCGCGGUCGACGAACUCCAUCGUCACCUGGCAAUAAACUAUCUUGACGACGUACAUCGCGCCGCGUCCGCCGCUUUUUUCCCCACAGCGGCCGAGUCGCCGCGGCACUUCGCACUGACGCUUGACUUUCGUCGCCGACCCUCUCGACCAGCGAGGAUUUCCGAUGUACAGGAGACACACGCGGUUUGUCAGAGCCCUUUGUCACUGUACCACACACAGGUGCACGCGUGCGUGAGCGUUGUGGGAGAGAACCGGAGAGAGGAAGAGAGAGAGAGAGAGAGAGAGGAGGGGAAAAAGAGAGACAUUCGGACGCGCAGACGGAUAUCCGGCGUUCCGCUACUACGAUCACGUUACAACGCAAUGCCGCGCGGGUUUCGCGCUAAUUAGCGAUACCGCGGUGUAUCGCGUGGAUUUUUUUCCUUUUCUUCCCCAUCCGACAUCACUGACGAUCUCGACUACGGAUCGAAGCGACCCACGCCGUCUACCUCGGCGAGCACCGUCCCGUUAAACGUAAACCGGCCGAAAUUCAUUAUCGCGACUAAUUACGCUCUAUAUUCGACGCGCCGCGAUAUAUAUAUAUAUAUAUUUUUUUUAGCAUCCGAGUUAUUACAAGCUGUCGCAAUGCGCGACAUUCAGCAAUAUUUGAGACAGGUUUGACUGAUCGUGAAGGAUACAUGCCCAUCGGUAUGUACCAAAAUCAAAAGUUAAAUUUAAAAUUGGCUAAUAGAACAGGAAGCUCCAAAUUAGCCGCAUUGGUCUUGAGGUUUGCCGUGAGUAACACAUCGAUCAAUAAGUCCUGGGACUAAGCAACAGAUGGCGCCUCUAAUAACAAAUCUGUACCAUUCUCAGUUAGUACCAACCUUUAGAAGUUACGUGUCAAACUGUCAUGACAUUCCGACAUUGUGUCAUUGAGUUACAGUGGUUUUUUAGUGACACGGCUACACCGUGUCACAAGUUCGAUGGUAACGAUGGCCAAAUUGCAUGAGUUGAACUUCGAAUUGCUUCCGCACCCACCGUAUUCUCCAGAUUUGGCCCCCAGCGAUUAUUGGCUGUUCGCAGACCUCAA
rnacentral:lncRNA from 1 species